rnacentral:rRNA from 1 species
GACAGAGGUGCCGAGCGUUAGGCGGAAUCACUGGGCUUAAAGCGUGUGUAGGCGGACUUCUAAGUACCUUGUGAAAUCCCACGGCUUUAACCGUGGAACUGCUUGGUAUACUGGUUGUCUUGGGCCAUCUAGGGGCUAGCGGAACAAACGGUGGAGCGGUGAAAUGCGUAGAUAUCGUUUGGAACGCCAAUGGUGAAAACAGCUAGCUGGGGAUGUGCCGACGCUGAGACACGAAAGCCAGGGGAGCGAACGGG